rnacentral:rRNA from 1 species
AGAGUUUGAUCCUGGCUCAGAAUGAACGCUGGCGGCGCGCCUAAUACAUGCAAGUCGAGCGAGAAGACGUAGCAAUACGUUUGUAAAGCGGCGAACGGGUGAGGAAUACAUGGGUAACCUACCCUUGAGUGGGGAAUAACUAGCCGAAAGGUUAGCUAAUACCGCGUACGCUUCUUGGACUUCGGUUCAGGGAGGAAAGCGCUACCGUGGGUAGCGCGCUCUUGGAUGGGCUCAUGUCCUAUCAGCUUGUUGGUGAGGUAACGGCUCACCAAGGCUUCGACGGGUAGCUGGUCUGGGAGGACGAUCAGCCACACUGGCACUGCGACACGGGCCAGACUCCUACGGGAGGCAGCAGUAAGGAAUAUUGCGCAAUGGGCGAAAGCCUGACGCAGCGACGCCGCGUGGGGGAUGAAGGUCUUCGGAUUGUAAACCCCUUUCGGGAGGGAAGAUGGAAUGGGGUAACCCAUUCGGACGGUACCUCCAGAAGCAGCCACGGCUAACUUCGUGCCAGCAGCCGCGGUAAUACGAAGGUGGCAAGCGUUAUUCGGAUUUACUGGGCGUACAGGGAGCGUAGGCGGUUCGGUAAGCCCUCUGUGAAAUCUUCAGGCUUAACCUGGAACAGUCGGAGGGGACUGCUGGGCUAGAGGACGGGAGAGGAGCGCGGAAUUCCCGGUGUAGCGGUGAAAUGCGUAGAGAUCGGGAGGAAGGCCGGUGGCGAAGGCGGCGCUCUGGAACGUUUCUGACGCUGAGGCUCGAAAGCGUGGGGAGCAAACAGGAUUAGAUACCCUGGUAGUCCACGC